rnacentral:rRNA from 1 species
GAUGAACGCUGGCGGCGUGCCUAAUACAUGCAAGUCGAGCGAACAGACGAGGAGCUUGCUCCUCUGACGUUAGCGGCGGACGGGUGAGUAACACGUGGAUAACCUACCUAUAAGACUGGGAUAACUUCGGGAAACCGGAGCUAAUACCGGAUAAUAUAUUGAACCGCAUGGUUCAAUAGUGAAAGACGGUUUUGCUGUCACUUAUAGAUGGAUCCGCGCCGCAUUAGCUAGUUGGUAAGGUAACGGCUUACCAAGGCGACGAUGCGUAGCCGACCUGAGAGGGUGAUCGGCCACACUGGAACUGAGACACGGUCCAGACUCCUACGGGAGGCAGCAGUAGGGAAUCUUCCGCAAUGGGCGAAAGCCUGACGGAGCAACGCCGCGUGAGUGAUGAAGGUCUUCGGAUCGUAAAACCCUGUUAUUAGGGAAGAACAAAUGUGUAAGUAACUAUGCACGUCUUGACGGUACCUAAUCAAAAAGCCACGGCUAACUACGUG